rnacentral:rRNA from 1 species
GCUGCAGAGUUGGGCCAUCACAUACACAGACUAAAUGUUCUCAUGUAUGGUCGGCGCUGGAGAAACAUUGUGUCUGUCAUCCUGAGUUCUGCUUCCUCAAGAAUUUUGUUAAAUGGCACCCCUGGUCCGCCCUUCAGGCAUAUGUGUGGUCUUAGACAGGGCGACCCCUUGUCCCCGAUGUUGUUCAUUCUCGCCAUGGAGCCGCUUCGGAAACUGUUGGAUCUUGCAACGGAAGGCGGUGUUCUAACUAAGCUGGGACCUAAGGCAGCCAGAUUUCGCACAAGUAUGUACGCUGAUGAUGCGGCCCUGUUUUUAAACCCUAUCAAGGACGAGGUGCAUGCAGUCAGAGCAAUAUUGGAUAGGUUUGGGGAGGCCUCUGGUCUAAAAAUCAACAUCCAGAAAUGUGUUGCAUAUCCAGUUAGGUGCGAGGGGCUUGACUUCCAGGAUAUUAUCCAAGAUUUUGGUGGGACGGCAGGCUCUCUCCCGUGUCGUUACCUUGGACUGCCGCUCAGCUAUCGCAAGCUUAGAAGAAUUGAGGUCCUCCCUCUCAUAGAUGGCAUGGCCGGAAGGCUUAAAGGAUGGAAAGGCAAACUGAUGGCCAAACCUGGAAGGCUCACUCUAAUAAAUUAUGUGCUUACAUCCAUGGCCACAUAUUUCUUAACCAGUUUUGCAGUUGACAAAUGGGCAAUAAAGAAAAUGGAAAAGAUUCAGCGAAACUUCCUUUGGAAUGGUGACGAGGAGUGCAAAGGGGCCAAGUGCCUUGUCAACUGGAAGAGGGUCUGCUCCCCAAAGGAUCUUGGUGGCCUUGGAAUCAAAGACAUUGCCUGCUUCAGUAGGGCAUUGCGGCUGCGUUGGGCUUGGCUAGAGUGGAGCCCCAAUUCAAGGCCUUGGCAGGGCACCCCCAUCCCAUGCGAUCGCACGGACAUGCUGCUUUUCUCAGCUUGCACGGAGAUUUCG